UUAAGCGACUAAGCGUACACGGUGGAUGCCUAGGCAAUCAGAGGCGAUGAAGGACGUGCUAAUCUGCGAUAAGCGUCGGUAAGGUGAUAUGAACCGUGAUAACCGACGAUUUCCGAAUGGGGAAACCCAGUGCAAUUCGUUGCACUAUCGUUUGAUGAAUACAUAGUCAAACGAAGCGAACCGGGGGAACUGAAACAUCUCAGUACCCCGAGGAAAAGAAAUCAACCGAGAUUCCCCUAGUAGCGGCGGAGCGAACGGGGAGCAGCCCAGAGUCUUAAUCAACAUUAGCAUCAGGAGAACGGUCUGGAAAGGCCGGCAGUAAAGGGUGAUAGCCCCGUAUCCGAAGGUGUUAGUGUUGUGAACUCGACGAGUAGGGCGGGACACGUGUUAUCCUGUCUGAAUAUGGGGGGACCAUCCUCCAAGGCUAAAUACUCCUGAUUGACCGAUAGUGAACCAGUACCGUGAGGGAAAGGCGAAAAGAACCCCGGCGAGGGGAGUGAAAUAGAACCUGAAACCGUGUACGUACAAGCAGUGGGAGCCCCACCACCAAAGCAUUUUCUGGUGUUGAGGACAACUUUGAAGUGACAUUCAACACGCGUUGGCGGAGCGUUUUUUGCGACGCCCAACAAAACAAACAAGUAGUGAAUGUGCUUUGGGGUGGGGUGACUGCGUACCUUUUGUAUAAUGGGUCAGCGACUUAUAUUCUGUAGCAAGGUUAACCGUAUAGGGGAGCCGUAGGGAAACCGAGUCUUAACUGGGCGAAUGAGUUGCAGGGUAUAGACCCGAAACCCGGUGAUCUAGCCAUGGGCAGGUUGAAGGUUGGGUAACACUAACUGGAGGACCGAACCGACUAAUGUUGAAAAAUUAGCGGAUGACUUGUGGCUGGGGGUGAAAGGCCAAUCAAACCGGGAGAUAGCUGGUUCUCCCCGAAAGCUAUUUAGGUAGCGCCUCGUGAACUCAUCUUCGGGGGUAGAGCACUGUUUCGACUAGGGGGUCAUCCCGACUUACCAACUCGAUGCAAACUACGAAUACCGAAGAAUGUUAUCACGGGAGACACACGGCGGGUGCUAACGUUCGUCGUGAAGAGGGAAACAACCCAGACCGCCAGCUAAGGUCCCAAAGUCAUAGUUAAGUGGGAAACGAAGUGGGAAGGCUCAGACAGCCAGGAUGUUGGCUUAGAAGCAGCCAUCAUUUAAAGAAAGCGUAAUAGCUCACUGGUCGAGUCGGCCUGCGCGGAAGAUGUAACGGGGCUAAACUAUGCACCGAAGCUGCGGCAGCGAUAUGUAAAUAUUGUUGGGUAGGGGAGCGUUCUGUAAGCCUGUGAAGGUGUACUGUGAGGUAUGCUGGAGGUAUCAGAAGUGCGAAUGCUGACAUAAGUAACGAUAAUGCGGGUGAAAAACCCGCACGCCGGAAGACCAAGGGUUCCUGUCCAACGUUAAUCGGGGCAGGGUGAGUCGACCCCUAAGGCGAGGCAGAAAUGCGUAGUCGAUGGGAAACGGGUUAAUAUUCCCGUACUGGUGAUAAUUGCGAUGGGGGGACGGAGAAGGCUAGGCUAUCCGGGCGACGGUUGUCCCGGUUUAAGGAUGUAGGCAGGUGAAUUAGGCAAAUCCGGUUCACUACAUGCUGAGUCCGACGACGAGUCACUACGGUGAUGAAGUAGCUCAUGCCCCGCUUCCAGGAAAAGCCUCUAAGCUCUAGAUUAUCAUUAAUCGUACCCCAAACCGACACAGGUGGUCAGGUAGAGAAUACUCAGGCGCUUGAGAGAACUCGGGUGAAGGAACUAGGCAAAAUGGUGCCGUAACUUCGGGAGAAGGCACGCUGGCGCUAGGUGAAGUCCCUUGCGGAUGGAGCUGAAGCCAGUCGCAGAUACCAGCUGGCUGCAACUGUUUAUUAAAAACACAGCACUGUGCAAACACGAAAGUGGACGUAUACGGUGUGACGCCUGCCCGGUGCUGGAAGGUUAAUUGAUGGGGUUAUCCGUAAGGAGAAGCUCUUGAUCGAAGCCCCAGUAAACGGCGGCCGUAACUAUAACGGUCCUAAGGUAGCGAAAUUCCUUGUCGGGUAAGUUCCGACCUGCACGAAUGGCGUAAUGAUGGCCAGGCUGUCUCCACCCGAGACUCAGUGAAAUUGAACUCGCUGUGAAGAUGCAGUGUACCCGCGGCAAGACGGAAAGACCCCGUGAACCUUUACUAUAGCUUGACACUGAACAUUGAGCCUUGAUGUGUAGGAUAGGUGGGAGGCUUUGAAGUGUGGACGCCAGUCUGCAUGGAGCCAACCUUGAAAUACCACCCUUUAAUGUUUGAUGUUCUAACGUAGCCCCGUUAUCCGGGGUGCGGACAGUGUCUGGUGGGUAGUUUGACUGGGGCGGUCUCCUCCCAAAGAGUAACGGAGGAGCACGAAGGUUGGCUAAGCAUGGUCGGACAUCAUGCGGUUAGUGCAAAGGCAUAAGCCAGCUUGACUGCGAGAGUGACGGCUCGAGCAGGUACGAAAGUAGGUCUUAGUGAUCCGGUGGUUCUGAAUGGAAGGGCCAUCGCUCAACGGAUAAAAGGUACUCCGGGGAUAACAGGCUGAUACCGCCCAAGAGUUCAUAUCGACGGCGGUGUUUGGCACCUCGAUGUCGGCUCAUCACAUCCUGGGGCUGAAGUAGGUCCCAAGGGUACGGCUGUUCGCCGUUUAAAGUGGUACGCGAGCUGGGUUUAGAACGUCGUGAGACAGUUCGGUCCCUAUCUGCCGUGGGCGUUGGAAGAUUGAAAGGGGCUGCUCCUAGUACGAGAGGACCGGAGUGGACGCACCACUGGUGUUCGGGUUGUCAUGCCAAUGGCAUUGCCCGGUAGCUAAGUGCGGAAGAGAUAACCGCUGAAAGCAUCUAAGCGGGAAACUUGCCUUGAGAUGAGUCUUCCCUGACUCUUUAAGGGUCCUAAAGGAACGUUUAAGACUAAGACGUUGAUAGGUUGGGUGUGUAAGCGUAGCGAUACGUUGAGCUAACCAAUACUAAUGAACCGUGAGGCUUAACCUG
rnacentral:rRNA from 1 species